rnacentral:rRNA from 1 species
UACGAAGGGAGCUAGCGUUGUUCGGAAUUACUGGGCGUAAAGGGCGCGUAGGCGGUUUGUUAUGUCAGAUGUGAAAGCCCCGGGCUUAACCUGGGAACUGCAUUUGAAACUGGCAGACUAGAGAUCGAGAGAGGAAAGUGGAAUUACAAGUGUAGAGGUGAAAUUCGUAGAUAUUUGUAAGAACACCAGUGGCGAAGGCGACUUUCUGGCUCGAUACUGACGCUAAGGCGCGAAAGCGUGGGGAGCAAACAGG